ensembl:snRNA U4 U4 spliceosomal RNA
AUUCCCGUGCAGUGGCAGUACCAUAGCCAAUGAGGUUUAUCCCAGGCACAAUUAUUGCUAAUUGAAAACUUUUCCCAAUACCCCGCUGUGAUAACUUGAUGUUGUAUAUUUAAAUGAGUAUAAAUUACCUUAUAUGUUUUCUUUAUACUAGAGAUGAGCUCUUUGGAAAAAUGGCCAUU